GACGAACGCUGGCGGCGUGCCUAAUACAUGCAAGUUGAGCGCUGAAGGUUGGUACUUGUACCAACUGGAUGAGCAGCGAACGGGUGAGUAACGCGUGGGGAAUCUGCCUUUGAGCGGGGGACAACAUUUGGAAACGAAUGCUAAUACCGCAUAAAAACUUUAAACACAAGUUUUAAGUUUGAAAGAUGCAAUUGCAUCACUCAAUGAUGAUCCCGCGUUUUAUUAGCUAGUUGGUGAGGUAAAGGCUCACCAAGGCGAUGAUACAUAGCCGACCUGAGAGGGUGAUCGGCCAAAUUGGGACUGAGACACGGCCCAAACUCCUACGGGAGGCAGCAGGAGGGAAUCUUCGGCAAUGGACGAAAGUCUGACCGAGCAACGCCGCGUGAGGGAAGAAGGGUUUCGGAUCGUAAAACUCUGUUGGUAGAGAAGAACGUUGGUGAGAGUGGAAAGCUCAUCAAGUGACGGUAACUACCCAGAAAGGGACGGCUAACUACGUG
rnacentral:rRNA from 1 species